rnacentral:rRNA from 1 species
AACAGGAUUAGAUACCCUGGUAGUCCACGCUGUAAACGAUGUCGACUUGGAGGUUGUGCCCUUGAGGCGUGGCUUCCGGAGCUAACGCGUUAAGUCGACCGCCUGGGGAGUACGGCCGCAAGGUUAAAACUCAAAUGAAUUGACGGGGGCCCGCACAAGCGGUGGAGCAUGUGGUUUAAUUCGAUGCAACGCGAAGAACCUUACCUACUCUUGACAUCCAGAGAAUUUGCUAGAGAUAGCUUAGUGCCUUCGGGAACUCUGAGACAGAUGCUGCAUGGCUGUCGUCAGCUCGUGUUGUGAAAUGUUGGGUUAAGUCCCGCAACGAGCGCAACCCUUAUCCUUUGUUGCCAGCGAGUAAUGUCGGGAACUCAAAGGAGACUGCCGGUGAUAAACCGGAGGAAGGUGGGGAUGACGUCAAGUCAUCAUGGCCCUUACGAGUAGGGCUACACACGUGCUACAAUGGCAUAUACAAAGAGAAGCGAACUCGCGAGAGCAAGCGGACCUCAUAAAGUAUGUCGUAGUCCGGAUUGGAGUCUGCAACUCGGCUCCAUGAAGUCGGAAUCGCUAGUAAUCGUAGAUCAGAAUGCUACGGUGAAUACGUUCCCGGGCCUUGUACACACCGCCCGUCACACCAUGGGAGUGGGUUGCAAAAGAAGUAGGUAGCUUAACCUUCGGGAGGGCGCUUACCACUUUGUGAUUCAUGACUGGGGUGAAGUCGUAACAAGGUAACC